UGGAGGAGACGCCGUGCGCGCGCCGCACGGUACUGAGUGCGGGGCAGCGGCGCAGAUCCCGCCGCUGCGGGCUGCGCGCGGACCCGGCCCGCCGCACUGCCAGUGCUCCGGGGUUCCUUCGUGUGGCCCCCUCCCCGGACAAACUCUAAAGCUCUAACAAAAACUCGUGACACGUGAGGGCAGGUCAGCGCUUGCGGAGUAAGCCUGAUCGCUGACAAUUCACACGCCAUGGCGGAGAACUGCCCGACCGUGGUGGUAGUCGUUGCGACAAAGAAACGUACAAAGCCACAGUCCAACUAUUAUUUACCAUAGCUCCCCGGCCUCUCUUUCUGGGCUCUUUGCCAGCGUACAGAGGCGCAGGUAGGGGGGAGUUGAAGGGAAAGAAGCAUUUUCGCGUCGAUCCAGGAGCUGUGAGGCCUGGCCCGCUUGGGAGCCCUAUGAUGGAGCCCGUGAAUUCCAAAGGCAUAAGUUGAGCAGCGGUGUUAACCCAAAAGAACUGAAGUCAGCGGACUAUAAAUAUUGUUCCCGUCUCUGCUGUCGCUCACUCUAGUGACCUCAGAUACCCUCCGAGUCUGAUUCCCUCCAUUUGGAGAACAUAAAUAGUUGCCACUCCUUUUUUCUCCCCAUUCUUUGGAAAAUGCCAUUUCAAGUAUUCAGUGUCCUGUAUGUGAAGUGUCUUGGUCUCUUUUUAAAAACCAAAUGUGACCUUGAUCUCUUUGUAAGUCUUUCAACGAAUGCAUGGCAUUAAAUUAUCUCUUUACAUCCGUUUGGGGUUUUAUUUUGCUAAAAAGAAUUCACACAGGCCAAAAACAAAAAACCAUGCAAAACAUUUUUGUGCACACUUUUACCACACUAUAUUCCAUUUCUGAAAUGUUAAAAUUAAAAAUCCCAAAGCAAGAGUACUUAGGUUGAAAAGUUAACAUUAUAAAAGCUAGAUUCCUAACACAAACACUGCAGACAUAAGUCACUCAGUUGCAAAAAGUUAAUGUUUAUAAAUGUUAAAUAAAUGUCAACAAUGAAGAGACAAGAACUGUAGAUCCAAAGUGUACUCCUCACCGUGAACUAUUAAAACUUGUGUUUGGUAUUGUAGGACAUCCACGAUGUUAACUUGAAGUAGCUACAACCUUAACCCAACACUAUGCCAAACUUAAGAACACUGAGGGAACCGUAUUAAAAAUCACCUCCUCUUCCUGCUACCUUUAAAAUGUUUUUGUUGUUGAUUUUGGGUUUUGGUAACUAACAGUCCCCCAGAAUACACACUAGCUGUGAAACGUAGAAAAACGGCUUCAAUAAAUGACUAUUAUGAAGCUCACCUUUGAGAUUUCACUUUUCUUGUUAAUGAUCACAUGCUUUUUAAUGGCCACACUUGUGUCUGUGUAAAAUCUUUUAAGUGAUAUUUUUGGGGAAAAAACUCUAGGGAACUUUAUUCCCUUUCCUUGAGACCAGUCCUUGAUAAUUAAUAGUUUUUUGUUGUUGUUGUUGUUUUUUAAGAAAAUCUGCCUAGAGCCUUUCUGUACAGUCAGCAACCUCCUUGUCCCUGUGUAUUUGAACUUUCCAAAAAUAACAGAAUGCUUGCUUGCAACUCCUGAAAAA
ensembl:lncRNA